rnacentral:rRNA from 1 species
GACGAACGCUGGCGGCGCGCCUAACACAUGCAAGUCGAACGAGCGAGAGAGAGCUUGCUUUCUUGAGCGAGUGGCGAACGGGUGAGUAACGCGUGAGGAACCUGCCUCAAAGAGGGGGACAACAGUUGGAAACGACUGCUAAUACCGCAUAAGCCCACGGUGCCGCAUGGCACCGAGGGAAAAGGAGCAAUCCGCUUUGAGAUGGCCUCGCGUCCGAUUAGCUAGUUGGUGAGGUAACGGCCCACCAAGGCGACGAUCGGUAGCCGGACUGAGAGGUUGAACGGCCACAUUGGGACUGAGACACGGCCCAGACUCCUACGGGAGGCAGCAGUGGGGAAUAUUGCACAAUGGGGGAAACCCUGAUGCAGCGACGACGCGUGGAGGAAGAAGGUCUUCGGAUUGUAAACUCCUGUUGUUGGGGAAGAUAAUGACGGUACCCAACAAGGAAGUGACGGCUAACUACGUG